GCUGGGUAUGGUGGCUCAUGCCUGUAAUCCCAGUACUUUGGGAGGCUGAGGCGGGGGGAUCACCUGAGGUCAGGAGUUCAAGACCAGCCUGGCCAACAUGGUGAAACCCCGUCUUUA
rnacentral:SRP_RNA from 1 species